AAAGUUAGCUGGGACCACGAUCACGAAGGUGGUUUUCCCAGGGCGAGGCUUAUCCAUUGCACUCCGGUUAUGCUGACCCCUGUGAUUUCCCCAAAUGUGAGAAACUUCACUGCAUAAUUUGUGGUAGUGGGGGACUGCGUUCAUGCUUUCCCCCG
rnacentral:snRNA from 1 species